GACAGAGGGUGCAAACGUUGUUCGGAAUUACUGGGCGUAAAGCGUGUGUAGGCGGCCACGUAAGUCGGAUGUGAAAGCCCUGGGCUCAACCCAGGAAGUGCACUCGAUACUGCGUGGCUAGAGUACUGGAGAGGUUGGUGGAAUUCUCGGUGUAGAGGUGAAAUUCGUAGAUAUCGAGAGGAACACCGGUGGCGAAGGCGGCCAACUGGACAGAUACUGACGCUGAGACACGAAAGCGUGGGGAGCAAACAGG
rnacentral:rRNA from 1 species